rnacentral:rRNA from 1 species
AACGAACGCUGGCGGCAGGCCUAACACAUGCAAGUCGAACGUGAAGCCACCUUCGGGUGGUGGAAAGUGGCAGACGGGUGAGUAACGCGUGGGAAUCUACCCAAUGGUACGGAAUAACUCAGGGAAACUUGAGCUAAUACCGUAUGUGCCCGAAAGGGAAGAUUUAUCGCCAUCGGAUGAGCCCGCGUCUGAUUAGCUAGUUGGUGGGGUAAGUGGCCCACCAAGGCGACGAUCAGUAGCUGGUCUGAGAGGAUGAUCAGCCACACUGGGACUGAGACACGGCCCAGACUCCUACGGGAGGCAGCAGGUGGGGAAUAUUGGACAAUGGGCGCAAGCCUGAUCCAGCCAUGCCGCGUGAGUGA